CUCUAGUAACGGCGAGUGAAGCAGCCAAAGCUCAAAUUUGAAAGCUCCUAACAAGGCGCAUUGUAAUUUGAAGAUGGUAUUCCGAGUUAGUCCUUUACCUCAGUUCCUUGGAACAGGACGCCAUAGAGGGUGAGAGCCCCGUGUGGUAUUGGUAGCUUUCUCAUGUGGUUUACCUUCGAAGAGUCGAGUUGUUUGGGAAUGCAGCUCUAAGUGGGUGGUAAAUUCCAUCUAAAGCUAAAUAUUGGCGAGAGACCGAUAGCGAACAAGUACUGUGAAGGAAAGAUGAAAAGAACUUUGAAAAGAGAGUGAAAAAGUACGUGAAAUUGUUGAAAGGGAAGGGAAUUGGACUAGACUUGGAUUUCUGUUAUCAGCAGUCUUUCGGGGCUGUGCACUAGCAGUUUUCUAGGCCAGGAUCUGUUUGGAGGCCAGGAUAAAACCCAAAGAAUGUGGCUCUUCGGAGUGUUAUAGCUUUGGUUGAAUACUGGCAUUCUGGACAGAGGACCGCGCU
rnacentral:rRNA from 1 species